UACGAAGGGGGCUAGCGUUGUUCGGAUUUACUGGGCGUAAAGCGCACGUAGGCGGAUCUUUAAGUCAGAGGUGAAAUCCCAAGGCUCAACCUUGGAACUGCCUUUGAUACUGGCUAUCUCGAGUUCGGGAGAGGUGAGUGGAACUGCGAGUGUAGAGGUGAAAUUCGUAGAUAUUCGCAAGAACACCAGUGGCGAAGGCGGCUCACUGGCCCGAUACUGACGCUGAGGCACGAAAGCGUGGGGAGCAAACAGG
rnacentral:rRNA from 1 species